GCGGCUUUGGCGCAGUAGGUAGCGAGCCGGGCUCGUAUUCCUGAGGUCGCGAGUACGACCCUCGGAGACCGCG